GUAGAUAGGAAAAGUAAGGUGGAGCGUUUUGCCGGGGGUCACAGGAGGCGCUGAGGAACCCCAACAUUCCAAAACCUCGGCGAAUCUUGCGCUCGGCCUGGGGCAGCAACCCUUACUUCCGCGGCUCCUAUUCAUACACGCAGGUGGGCUCCAGCGGGGCGGAUGUGGAGAAGCUGGCCAAGCCCCUGCCGUACACGGAGAGCUCAAAGACAGCG
rnacentral:sRNA from 1 species